UACGGAGGUUGCGAGCGUUGUUCGGAAUUACUGGGCGUAAAGGGAGCGCAGGCGGCCGGGCCAGUCUAAAGUGAAAGCCCACGGCUCAACCGUGGACGUGCUUUGGAUACUAUCCGGCUUGAGUACGUGAGAGGUGAGCGGAAUUCCAGGUGUAGCGGUGAAAUGCGUAGAUAUCUGGAGGAACAUCGGUGGCGAAAGCGGCUCACUGGCACGAAACUGACGCUGAGGCUCGAAAGCGUGGGGAGCGAAC
rnacentral:rRNA from 1 species